GGUUAAGUCCGCUAACGAGCGCAACCCUCGCUGUGUGUUACAAGUGUCACACGGAACUGCCGGUCAUAAACCGGAGGAAGGUGGGGAUGACGUCAAGUCAGCAUGGCCUUUAUAUCCCUGGGCUACACACACGCUACAAUGGGAAGGGACAAUAGGUUGCGAAGCCGCGAGGCGGAGCCAAUCCAAGCAAAACUUCCCUCAGUUCAGAUUGCAGGCUGCAACUCGCCUGCAUGAAGUUGGAGUUGCUAGUAAACGCAGGUCAGCCAUACUGCGUUGAAUACGUUCCCGGGGCUU
rnacentral:rRNA from 1 species